AAAAUGUAAUCACACACAGGCAGCUCUCUUAUGGGUUCACUCAUAUUUUCACAAAAUUGGUAGAUGGACAGGUUUUAAAACAAAACAAUCAAAAUAUUGAAAAAUUGUUAGUUUUUUUUUUAACUUAUCAAAGAGUAGGAACUCUGCACUUAAAACUCAAUAAUAUAGAGGUUAUUUCCCUUAUUUGAUAUAAAACAAAAUAAUUGGUUAAUUGUUUAAAAUUCAUUAAUGUUUUGUUAGGUACAAUAAAUACUUUUUCUUUUAAGUUUCAAUUUUAUAGGUUUGUGUACAAACUUUUUACCAGACAGACACAGGGAGUUCUUAUAAGCUUUGUAACAAUAUGCAGCUUUUUCUCUUAAGGUGGCAACUUGCAAAGAAAAAUUCAUAUUUGUCCUCAUUUCCUUUCUAAUGUAACUCUUGCAUUGCAUCUGUUAUCUGCUGUUUAUUUACAUUUUGAAUUAUUAGAGCUUUUACAUUAAAAAAAAAAUACAGUGAAAACAUUUGAAAAUGAAGGGAAAAUUGUGAUAGAUUUUGAAAUAAAUAUCAGGGCUCUAAAUUGAAAGAUAACUGUUGCCAUCAGUUUUUUAAAAUUCCUCCGUAAUUCCAGUCAAGGGUAAAGAAGUCAAAUAAGGAAAUUAUGGUUAUGGUCUUUAUAUUCAGUCACAAUAUUAUUUUUAAUUGUGAAGCAUUUUGAGUUCUCUGUAAUUUUAAUACAAAAGUGAAAAAGACUAAAACAUUUGUUUCAGAUACGGUAUUCCUAUCAAUGUGUUCUUAUCAAUCUUAUCCAGAAGGGAAAGAGGAAGUGAAAAAAGAAAAACAUAAAAAAAGUGUAAUUGUAUCAGUCACGUAUUAAAUUAAUAGAUAUGCGAUUAGAAAUUUUUUUAGCAAUUGUUUAGCACUACAGCAUGAUUUAAGCUUUCUCAAAACGUCAUGAUCCUAUCACUUGUCUGGACCAGUUGGGAAAAUUGGGGAAGGGGUGAGAAAGGGAUAUCUGGGUGAAUUCUACAAUUAGUUUUUUUAAAGCCUUUAUAUAAAAAAAAAGGGGGGGGGGG